AGCGUGAUUGAGGAGCCUAACAGUUGGAGGAAACAGCCCGAUUUGGCCGCGGUGGUGAUUAGGGCAAGUGUGGAACCCGAAAUCGAGUGAUAGGAUAUCAAGAGGAGCCAAAAUCACGGUCAUGUGCAUAAAGGAAACAAGAGUAACAGGGGAAGAAGAUUUGCAGACGGUGGAGCAAUUGAUGGAGGUUCGGUUAUGUGAGGGAUGUUGGACUAGGUUCAUCGUAUCAACACAUUUUAUAUGUGGGUACUCAGCAAGUUUGUUGUGGGUAGCUUAUAUUAGAUUUGCAGAUUGGGUAUUAGGGUUUAUGCUUUUGCUGAUUUGAAUGUGUAAGGAGAGGGGUGAGAGAGAAGCUCACAAUAAUCAACUUCUUGGGGUUGUAUUUGGUUUUCUGGAAAUCAAUACAACAUAUCGGUUCUUGUUCUUGUUCU